rnacentral:lncRNA from 1 species
CCGAAGAUGCAACCGUCGAGAUUCGAGAAUGCUCAGGAUGCAAACUAUCCAAAAACAGUAAGAUGAAACCAACAAUCAAAAUUAGAAGAGAACAAUGGGAGGUUAGAUGAUAGAAUACGCCAUGAGAGCUUAUUUGACAGACAAAGCACUCGUUAGCAGCCCUGGCCCAGUCCACUAUGCUGCUGUCUUUUUAUAUCGUUAGCCUAAUCUAUGUGCUAUAAUUAUUGGCCCAGUUGGCCCAGACCACUAGCAUCACUAAAGGACAAAAGAAGGCGUGUUAUUCCUAAAGAGUUGUUCCAAACAUGGAUGGAGAGAGAGGCUGCAAACUGUGACAGAAUCUACAAACAAUCUCCAUUACAAAUCAGAUUUAGAUGUAAGAUCUUAUAAAAAGAAGUUGAGCCCAACUUUAAAUGCGAUCUUGGUCCUCUUCCCAGGAUUACAAGCACUCAAAUCCAACACCCUUAGACAUAAAAUCAGGAAGAAAUUUUGUGAUCCUAACCACUCCCCUGAGUCCCCUCAUGGAAGAUCUCAAGUUUGCAAGCCCAUCUGAGAGUCUGAGAUUAUUGAGUGGAUUUGAAAAUGGAAGAUAAAAGGAAUUAUUUUGGUAUUUUGCUUUCUAUUUGUUCAUAGGCAUUUCCUCAAACAUCUUUCUUGUCCAUCUAGAGAGACUGUAAGAGACACUGAGAGAGUGAUAAGGAUCAAAUUCAAAAUCCUCCAGAUUUGGAUUCAAUUAAGGCAUCCUCGGUCAAGGCACGAUCUCCUCC